UACGAAGGAGGCUAGCGUUGCUCGGAAUCACUGGGCGUAAAGCGCACGUAGGCGGCUUCUUAAGUCAGGGGUGAAAUCCUGGAGCUCAACUCCAGAACUGCCUUUGAUACUGAGGAGCUUGAGUCCGGGAGAGGUGAGUGGAACUGCGAGUGUAGAGGUGAAAUUCGUAGAUAUUCGCAAGAACACCAGUGGCGAGGGCGGCUCACUGGCCCGGUACUGACGCUGAGGUGCGAAAGCGUGGGGAGCAAACAGG
rnacentral:rRNA from 1 species